GACGUAGGGCGCGAGCGUUGUCCGGAUUUAUUGGGCGUAAAGAGCUCGUAGGCGGUUUGUCGCGUCUGCCGUGAAAGUCCGGGGCUCAACUCCGGAUCUGCGGUGGGUACGGGCAGACUAGAGUGAUGUAGGGGAGACUGGAAUUCCUGGUGUAGCGGUGAAAUGCGCAGAUAUCAGGAGGAACACCGAUGGCGAAGGCAGGUCUCUGGGCAUUAACUGACACUGAGGAGCGAAAGCGUGGGGAGCGAACAGG
rnacentral:rRNA from 1 species